rnacentral:rRNA from 1 species
GAUGAACGCUGGCGGCGUGCCUAAUACAUGCAAGUCGAGCGAACAGGCGAGGAGCUUGCUCCUCUGACGUUAGCGGCGGACGGGUGAGUAACACGUGGAUAACCUACCUAUAAGACUGGGAUAACUUCGGGAAACCGGAGCUAAUACCGGAUAAUAUAUUGAACCGCAUGGUUCAAUAGUGAAAGACGGUUUUGCUGUCACUUAUAGAUGGAUCCGCGCCGCAUUAGCUAGUUGGUAAGGUAACGGCUUACCAAGGCAACGAUGCGUAGCCGACCUGAGAGGGGGAUGGGCAAAACAGGAAAUGAGAAACGGUCAAAACAACAAGGGGGGGAAGAAGAAGGGAAACUUCGGAAAUGGGCGAAAGCCUAAAGGAGCAACACCAGGGGAGUGAAGAAGGUUUACGAAUCGUAAAACUCUGUAAGAAGGGAAAAAAAAAUGUGUAAGUAACCAUGGACGUAUGGACGGUACUUAAUCAGAAGGCCACGGCUAACUACG